GACGAACGCUGGCGGCGUGCUUAACACAUGCAAGUCGAACGCUGAAGCACCAGCUUGCUGGUGUGGAUGAGUGGCGAACGGGUGAGUAAUACGUGAGUAACCUGCCCUUGACUCUGGGAUAAGCCCGGGAAACUGGGUCUAAUACUGGAUGCUACAUGUCACCGCAUGGUGGUGUGUGGAAAGGGUUUACUGGUCUUGGAUGGGCUCACGGCCUAUCAGCUUGUUGGUGAGGUAAUGGCUCACCAAGGCGACGACGGGUAGCCGGCCUGAGAGGGUGACCGGCCACACUGGGACUGAGACACGGCCCAGACUCCUACGGGAGGCAGCAGUGGGGAAUAUUGCACAAUGGGCGAAAGCCUGAUGCAGCGACGCCGCGGGAGGGAUGACGGCCUUCGGGUUGUAAACCUCGUUCAGCAGGGAAGAAGCCACAUGUGACGGUACCUGCAGAAGAAGCGCCGGCUAACUACGUG
rnacentral:rRNA from 1 species